GGUUGUGUGGUGUAAUGGUUAUCACGGUAGACUUUGAAUCUACCAAUCCGAGUUCGAUCCUCGGCACGACCU
rfam:Phycomyces blakesleeanus NRRL 1555(-) unplaced genomic scaffold PHYBLscaffold_40, whole genome shotgun sequence.